rfam:Cavia porcellus supercont2_5 genomic scaffold, whole genome shotgun sequence.
AGGGAUAUAGCUCAGUGGCACAGUACUUGCCUGCCAAGUGUGAGGUCCUGAGUUCAAUUCCCAGUAUCCCCC